AUCAACUGCCGCACAGGAGUGCGGCGGGAUCAGGGAAGAUCGACCAUUGGCCCGGAGGGCUGCCGACAAGGAGUUGGAUGGUCUUGAAGAAAACCCGCUUCGGCGGGUUUUUU
rnacentral:sRNA from 1 species